rnacentral:rRNA from 1 species
GGGUUGUGAGGUUAAGCGACUAAGCGUACACGGUGGAUGCCCUGGCAGUCAGAGGCGAUGAAGGACGUGCUAAUCUGCGAUAAGCGUCGGUAAGGUGAUAUGAACCGUUAUAACCGGCGAUUUCCGAAUGGGGAAACCCAGUGUGAUUCGUCACACUAUCAUUAACUGAAUCCAUAGGUUAAUGAGGCGAACCGGGGGAACUGAAACAUCUAAGUACCCCGAGGAAAAGAAAUCAACCGAGAUUCCCCCAGUAGCGGCGAGCGAACGGGGAGCAGCCCAGAGCCUGAAUCAGUGUGUGUGUUAGUGGAAGCGUCUGGAAAGGCGCGCGAUACAGGGUGACAGCCCCGUACACAAAAAUGCACAUGCUGUGAGCUCGAUGAGUAGGGCGGGACACGUGGUAUCCUGUCUGAAUAUGGGGGGACCAUCCUCCAAGGCUAAAUACUCCUGACUGACCGAUAGUGAACCAGUACCGUGAGGGAAAGGCGAAAAGAACCCCGGCGAGGGGAGUGAAAAAGAACCUGAAACCGUGUACGUACAAGCAGUGGGAGCACGCUUAGGCGUGUGACUGCGUACCUUUUGUAUAAUGGGUCAGCGACUUAUAUUCUGUAGCAAGGUUAACCGAAUAGGGGAGCCGAAGGGAAACCGAGUCUUAACUGGGCGUUAAGUUGCAGGGUAUAGACCCGAAACCCGGUGAUCUAGCCAUGGGCAGGUUGAAGGUUGGGUAACACUAACUGGAGGACCGAACCGACUAAUGUUGAAAAAUUAGCGGAUGACUUGUGGCUGGGGGUGAAAGGCCAAUCAAACCGGGAGAUAGCUGGUUCUCCCCGAAAGCUAUUUAGGUAGCGCCUCGUGAAUUCAUCUCCGGGGGUAGAGCACUGUUUCGGCAAGGGGGUCAUCCCGACUUACCAACCCGAUGCAAACUGCGAAUACCGGAGAAUGUUAUCACGGGAGACACACGGCGGGUGCUAACGUCCGUCGUGAAGAGGGAAACAACCCAGACCGCCAGCUAAGGUCCCAAAGUCAUGGUUAAGUGGGAAACGAUGUGGGAAGGCCCAGACAGCCAGGAUGUUGGCUUAGAAGCAGCCAUCAUUUAAAGAAAGCGUAAUAGCUCACUGGUCGAGUCGGCCUGCGCGGAAGAUGUAACGGGGCUAAACCAUGCACCGAAGCUGCGGCAGCGACGCUUAUGCGUUGUUGGGUAGGGGAGCGUUCUGUAAGCCUGCGAAGGUGUGCUGUGAGGCAUGCUGGAGGUAUCAGAAGUGCGAAUGCUGACAUAAGUAACGAUAAAGCGGGUGAAAAGCCCGCUCGCCGGAAGACCAAGGGUUCCUGUCCAACGUUAAUCGGGCAGGGUGAGUCGACCCCUAAGGCGAGGCCGAAAGGCGUAGUCGAUGGGAAACAGGUUAAUAUUCCUGUACUUGGUGUUACUGCGAAGGGGGGACGGAGAAGGCUAUGUUGGCCGGGCGACGGUUGUCCCGGUUUAAGCGUGUAGGCUGGUUUUCCAGGCAAAUCCGGAAAAUCAAGGCUGAGGCGUGAUGACGAGGCACUACGGUGCUGAAGCAACAAAUGCCCUGCUUCCAGGAAAAGCCUCUAAGCAUCAGGUAACAUCAAAUCGUACCCCAAACCGACACAGGUGGUCAGGUAGAGAAUACCAAGGCGCUUGAGAGAACUCGGGUGAAGGAACUAGGCAAAAUGGUGCCGUAACUUCGGGAGAAGGCACGCUGAUAUGUAGGUGAAGCGACUUGCUCGUGGAGCUGAAAUCAGUCGAAGAUACCAGCUGGCUGCAACUGUUUAUUAAAAACACAGCACUGUGCAAACACGAAAGUGGACGUAUACGGUGUGACGCCUGCCCGGUGCCGGAAGGUUAAUUGAUGGGGUCAGCGCAAGCGAAGCUCUUGAUCGAAGCCCCGGUAAACGGCGGCCGUAACUAUAACGGUCCUAAGGUAGCGAAAUUCCUUGUCGGGUAAGUUCCGACCUGCACGAAUGGCGUAAUGAUGGCCAGGCUGUCUCCACCCGAGACUCAGUGAAAUUGAACUCGCUGUGAAGAUGCAGUGUACCCGCGGCAAGACGGAAAGACCCCGUGAACCUUUACUAUAGCUUGACACUGAACAUUGAGCCUUGAUGUGUAGGAUAGGUGGGAGGCUUUGAAGUGUGGACGCCAGUCUGCAUGGAGCCGACCUUGAAAUACCACCCUUUAAUGUUUGAUGUUCUAACGUUGACCCGUAAUCCGGGUUGCGGACAGUGUCUGGUGGGUAGUUUGACUGGGGCGGUCUCCUCCUAAAGAGUAACGGAGGAGCACGAAGGUUGGCUAAUCCUGGUCGGACAUCAGGAGGUUAGUGCAAUGGCAUAAGCCAGCUUGACUGCGAGCGUGACGGCGCGAGCAGGUGCGAAAGCAGGUCAUAGUGAUCCGGUGGUUCUGAAUGGAAGGGCCAUCGCUCAACGGAUAAAAGGUACUCCGGGGAUAACAGGCUGAUACCGCCCAAGAGUUCAUAUCGACGGCGGUGUUUGGCACCUCGAUGUCGGCUCAUCACAUCCUGGGGCUGAAGUAGGUCCCAAGGGUAUGGCUGUUCGCCAUUUAAAGUGGUACGCGAGCUGGGUUUAGAACGUCGUGAGACAGUUCGGUCCCUAUCUGCCGUGGGCGCUGGAGAACUGAGGGGGCUGCUCCUAGUACGAGAGGACCGGAGUGGACGCAUCACUGGUGUUCGGGUUGUCAUGCCAAUGGCACUGCCCGGUAGCUAAAUGCGGAAGAGAUAAGUGCUGAAAGCAUCUAAGCACGAAACUUGCCCCGAGAUGAGUUCUCCCUGACUCCUUGAGAGUCCUGAAGGAACGUUGAAGACGACGACGUUGAUAGGCCGGGUGUGUAAGCGCAGCGAUGCGUUGAGCUAACCGGUACUAAUGAACCGUGAGGCUUAACCUUACAACGCCGAAGCUGUU